rnacentral:rRNA from 1 species
AUUGAACGCUGGCGGCAUGCUUUACACAUGCAAGUCGAACGGUAACAGGCCGCAAGGUGCUGACGAGUGGCGAACGGGUGAGUAAUGCAUCGGAACGUGCCCAGUCGUGGGGGAUAACUGCUCGAAAGAGCAGCUAAUACCGCAUACGAUCUAUGGAUGAAAGCGGGGGACCGUAAGGCCUCGCGCGAUUGGAGCGGCCGAUGUCAGAUUAGGUAGUUGGUGAGGUAAAGGCUCACCAAGCCAACGAUCUGUAGCUGGUCUGAGAGGACGACCAGCCACACUGGGACUGAGACACGGCCCAGACUCCUACGGGAGGCAGCAGUGGGGAAUUUUGGACAAUGGGGGCAACCCUGAUCCAGCAAUGCCGCGUGCAGGAAGAAGGCCUUCGGGUUGUAAACUGCUUUUGUACGGAACGAAACGGUCUGGGUUAAUACCCUGGGCUAAUGACGGUACCGUAAGAAUAAGCACCGGCUAACUACGUGCCAGCAGCCGCGGUAAGAC